GACGAACGCUGGCGGCGUGCUUAACACAUGCAAGUCGAGCGGUAAGGCCCUUUCGGGGUACGACGAGCGGCGAACGGGUGAGUAACACGUGGGUGACCUGCCCUCAGCUCUGGGAUAAGCCUGGGAAACGUGGGUCUAAUACCGGAUAUGACUCCAUGACGCAUGUUGUGGGGUGGAAAGCCUUGUGCGGCUGAGGAUGGGCCCGCGGCCUAUCAGCUUGUUGGUGGGGUGAGGCCUACCAAGGCGACGACGGGUAGCCGGCCUGAGAGGGCGACCGGCCACACUGGGACUGAGACACGGCCCAGACUCCUACGGGAGGCAGCAGUGGGGAAUCUUGCGCAAUGGGCGAAAGCCUGACGCAGCGACGCCGCGUGAGGGAUGACGGCCU
rnacentral:rRNA from 1 species